rfam:Xenorhabdus doucetiae str. FRM16 chromosome, complete genome.
CCAAGAAGUAUUGGACGUUGCUGAUCGUCAAGACGGCGAUAAGCGACGUACCCCUAACGGCAGACCUCAAGAGACGAUUAACGUUAACCUGCGUGCGUAACCUUGCGGCAAAUACUUGUUGUGACAAUAAAAGUAUUAAAAGUGUCUUACGGAGCAUGUGAGCAAUGAAAUUACCCAUUUAUUUGGACUAUUC